UCCCAGACUCCUACGGGAGGCAGCAGUGGGGAAUAUUGCACAAUGGGGGAAACCCUGAUGCAGCGACGCCGCGUGAGCGAUGAAGUAUUUCGGUAUGUAAAGCUCUAUCAGCAGGGAAGAAAAUGACGGUACCUGACUAAGAAGCCCCGGCUAACUACGUGCCAGCAGCCGCGGUAAUACGUAGGGGGCAAGCGUUAUCCGGAUUUACUGGGUGUAAAGGGAGCGUAGACGGCCAGGCAAGUCUGGAGUGAAAGCCCGGGGCUCAACCCCGGGACUGCUUUGGAAGCUGCCAGGCUGGAGUGCUGGAGAGGCAAGCGGAAUUCCUAGUGUAGCGGUGAAAUGCGUAGAUAUUAGGAAGAACACCAGUGGCGAAGGCGGCCUGCUGGACAAUGACUGACGCUGAGGCUCGAAAGCGUGGGGAGCAAACAGGAUUAGAUACCCUAGUA
rnacentral:rRNA from 1 species